AAACCAGGAGGGCAGCAAAGGGGCUUUUUCCUCUUAUCACGAGAGAGACCACAUCUAUGGCAGAGGAAAGGAGUCAGAUGUGGUGAGAGGAGACUUGGAUUUGUACCCUCAUUCCUAACCUGUUUUUCAACAACACCCUAGGUGCUGGGUUGUAGACAGUCCUUACCCAAGAAAAGAAUUACAGAAUAACAUUUGCAAGAGGAGAGUUUGGGAAUAUGACAAGAUACUCUGCUAUUAUGUUUGUAAGGAAAUCCUAAAGGACUGUAUCAUUUUCAAGUGCUUGUAAAACCAGU